AGUGAACGCUGGCGGUAGGCCUAGCACAUGCAAGUCGAACGGCAGCACAGUAAGAGCUUGCUCUUACGGGUGGCGAGUGGCGGACGGGUGAGGAAUACAUCGGAAUCUACUUUUUCGUGGGGGAUAACGUAGGGAAACUUACGCUAAUACCGUAUACGACCUACGGGUGAAAGCAGUGGAUCUUCGGACCUUGCGCGAUUGAAUUAGCCGAUGUCGGAUUAGCUAGUUGGCGGGGUAAAGGCCCACCAAGGCGACGAUCCGUAGCUGGUCUGAGAGGAUGAUCGGCCACACUGGAACUGAGACACGGUCCAGACUCCUACGGGAGGCAGCAGUGGGGAAUAUUGGACAAUGGGCGCAAGCCUGAUCCAGCCAUACCGCGUGGGUGAAGAAGGCCUUCGGGUUGUAAAGCCCUUUUGUUGGGAAAGAAAAGCAGCAGGUUAAUACCCCGCUGUUCUGACGGUACCCAAAGAAUAAGCACCGGCUAACUUCGUG
rnacentral:rRNA from 1 species